rnacentral:rRNA from 1 species
GACGAACGCUGGCGGCGUGCCUAACACAUGCAAGUCGAGCGGAGACAGUGAGUAGCUUGCUAUGAGCUGUUUUAGCGGCGGACGGGUGAGUAACGCGUGAGCAACCUUUCCCAGACAGGGGAAUAACACACCGAAAGGUGUACUAAUACCGCAUAAGACCACGGGAUCACAUGGUUCUGGGGUAAAAGAUUUAUCGGUUUGGGGUGGGCUCGCGUCCGAUUAGGUAGUUGGUGAGGUAACGGCCCACCAAGCCGACGAUCGGUAGCCGACCUGAGAGGGUGAUCGGCCACAUUGGGACUGAGACACGGCCCAGACUCCUACGGGAGGCAGCAGUGGGAAUAUUGCACAAUGGGGGAAACCCGUAGAUGCAGCGACGCCGCGUGGAGGAAGAAGGUCUUCGGAUUGUAAACUACCUGUUGUUGAGGAAGAUAAAUGACGGUACUCAACAAGGAAGUGACGGCUAACUAACGUG